AUGCGGCUCGUCAUCCUGUGUUUCUGGAUUUGGGCCGCAUCCGGCGCCGCCGCAGUGGCUGGCUCGGACAUGGAAGCGCUGCUGGAGUUCGGCAGGGGCAUCCGGCAAGACCCGUCCCGCCGCCAGGCCGCUCCAUGGAACCCGACCAGUUCGUCGGAUUCCGACGGCUGCCCCGUCGAUUGGCAUGGCGUGCAGUGCAACGGCGGCCAGAUUCUUUCCAUAGCGUUCGAUGGCAUUGGGCUUGUGGGCAACGCCAGCUUGUCGGCGCUCGCAAGGAUGACGAUGCUUCAGAACCUGUCCCUGUCCGGCAACAAAUUGGAAGGGGUCUUGCCCCGUGCGCUGGGGUCUCUUGCUUCCUUGCAGCACCUGGAUCUGUCCAACAACAGAUUCAUUGGCUCCAUUCCGGCAGAAUUGACCAAACUGAGUAACCUGGGACAUCUCAAUCUCUCCUCCAAUGGCUUCGGUGGUGCAUUGCCGGUGGGUUUCAGAAGCCUGAGGAAACUGAAGUACUUGGAUCUCCGUGGCAACGGCUUCGUCGGCAAAUUGGAUGACAUAUUUGCACAGCUGCAGAGCCCGGUCCAUGUUGAUUUCAGCUGCAACCAGUUCUCGGGGUCCCUGGCAUCAAUCUCUGAUAACUCAUCUGUGGCUACCACUCUGCAGUACCUGAAUGUUAGCCAUAAUGUGCUGUCAGGGCCAGUGUUUGCGAGCGAUCCCACGCCUUUGUUCGACAGCCUCGAGGUGUUCGAUACAAGUUACAAUGCGCUUACUGGCAACGUCCCGUCGUUUAACUUCAUGAUCUCCCUCAAGGUGUUGCUUCUGCAGAACAAUAAGUUCUCGGGGUCCAUUCCAGAAGCGCUAUUUCGGGAGACCUCCAUGGUGUUGACUCAACUUGACCUUAGCUGCAACCAGCUCACAGGUCCAAUUAGGCGUGUAACGUCAGUGAAUCUGAAGUACCUGAAUCUGUCAUCCAACAGCCUUCAGGGAACUUUACCAAUCACAUUUGGGAGCUGUUCAGUGGUUGAUUUGAGUAGAAACAUGCUUUCAGGGAACAUAUCAGUUGUCCAUACAUGGGGAGAUUAUGUUGAGAUGAUUGAUUUGAGCUCAAAUAGAUUAACAGGAACUUGGCCCGGUCAGACUACCCAAUUUUUGAGGCUGACUUCAUUGAGGAUUUCUAAUAACUUGCUAGCAGGAGAAUUGCCAACUGUUCUCGGAACCUAUCCUGAGUUGAUUGCCAUAGAUCUUAGCCUCAAUCAGUUCCAUGGAGCUUUACCUAAAAAUCUCUUUACAGCAGCUAAGCUGACCUAUCUUAAUCUUUCAGGAAACAAUUUCGCAGGAACUCUGCCUCUUCCCAGUUCUGAAACCAACAAUUCAACUACUGUAGACCUGUCAGUUUUUCCUGUACAGACUUCAAACCUUUCAUUUCUUGAUCUUUCAAACAAUUCUUUUGGUGGUCCACUGCCUUCGGGCAUCGGUCGUUUGAGUGGAUUGGUGUUGUUGGAUCUCUGCCUGAACAACUUUACUGGGCAAAUCCCAACAUCAAUCACCAAGCUAAAGCAUUUACUGCACAUUGACUUGUCAAGCAACCAUUUCGAUGGUAGCAUACCUGAUGGCCUCCCAGACGAUCUUGUAGAGUUCAAUGUAUCAUACAACAAUUUCUCUGGCCCCGUUCCGAGCAGUUUGCUAAAAUUUCCUGAUUCAUCUUUCCAUCCAGGGAAUGAACUACUUGUUCUUCCCCGCUCUGGGUCACCAAAUAGUCCUGAAGGAUCAGGUGGGAGGAAACAUGGUAUGAAGCGUGGAAUUCUGUAUGCAUUGAUUGCAUGUGUUAUUGUCUUUGUUACCGGGAUCAUUGUCCUUUUACUUGUCCAUUGGAAGAUCUCUAACUGGAAGAGCAGCGAAAAAGGUAAGGGCCAACAUAAGAAUUCUGUAAAUCAAGGACAGGGUGCUCCUCAGAGACGUGCAGAAAUUCCAAGUUCUGAAAUCCACGAUGUGUCGCUAGGAUCAUCACCGUCUGCAGAGUAUGGAGGCAUUUCCGUGCCCCGUGGUGGCAUGGAAGGACAGCAUGAAGCACAAUGUGUGGAUCAGCCAACUGGUAGCAUUUCUAGCCUUAAAGAUAGCUCAGCGUCUUCUAUGCCUUCAUUGAUAUCAUCACCUUCUGAUGUGCGCUCACACCACCAUCACUCCAUCUUGAGAGUGCACUCUCCCGACAAACUGGUCGGGGACUUGCAUCUUUUCGACAAUUCUGUGUUGUUUACAGCGGAAGAGCUCUCUCGUGCUCCGGCAGAGAUGAUCGGCCGGAGCUGUCACGGGACAUCCUACAAGGCUACUCUUGACAAUGGAUAUGUGCUGACAGUGAAGUGGCUGAAGGAGGGGUUUGCUAAGAGCAAGAAAGAGUUUUCCCGUGAGAUAAAGAAGCUCGGCAGCGUCAAACAUCCCAGUCUAGUCUCACUGCGAGGCUACUACUGGGGCCCCAAAGAGCACGAGAGGAUCAUCAUAUCAGACUAUGUAGAUGCCACAUCUCUGUCUACCUACCUGUCUGAGAUUGAAGAGCGGGAUCUUGCACCUCUGUCGGUGGGCCAGCGGCUUGACAUCGCGAUCAGCAUUGCCCACUGUCUAGAUUACCUGCACAAUGAGCGGGUGAUCCCACAUGGCAACCUCAAGUCGUCCAACGUCCUGCUUCAGGACUCGAGCCCGUCUGCUCUGGUAACUGACUACAGCCUUCACAGGCUGAUGACUCCGGUGGGCAUGGCUGAGCAGGUCCUGAAUGCAGGGGCCCUUGGGUACUCCCCUCCAGAGUUUGCGAGCACCAGCAAGCCAUGCCCGUCUCUGAAGAGCGACGUGUAUGCCUUUGGCGUCAUCCUGCUUGAGCUUCUGACAGGGAGGAUCGCGGGGGAGAUCAUUUGUGUGAGCGAUGGCGCGGUCGACCUGACGGACUGGGUGAGGAUGCUGGCAAGGGAGGAGCGUGCUUCCGAGUGCUUCGACGGGCGCAUUGUUGAAACUGAAAGCUCAGGGGGCGCAUCUAACAAGCUGGAGGACAUGCUGCACAUCGCCAUCCGGUGUAUCCGGUCCGCAUCGGAGAGGCCGGAGAUACGGACGGUGUUCGAGGACCUCUCGUCCCUGUUGUCGUCGUCGUCGUGA
rnacentral:rRNA from 1 species